UACGGAGGGGGUUAGCGUUGUUCGGAAUGACUGGGCGUAAAGCGCGCGUAGGCGGAUCGGAAAGUCGGGGGUGAAAUCCCGGGGCUCAACCCCGGAAUGGCCUUCGAAACUCCCGGUCUUGAGUUCGAGAGAGGUGAGUGGAAUUCCGAGUGUAGAGGUGAAAUUCGUAGAUAUUCGGAGGAACACCAGUGGCGAAGGCGGCUCACUGGCUCGACACUGACGCUGAGGUGCGAAAGCAUGGGGAGCAAACAGG
rnacentral:rRNA from 1 species